rnacentral:rRNA from 1 species
UACAGAGGUCCCAAGCGUUGUUCGGAUUCACUGGGCGUAAAGGGUGCGUAGGUGGUGAGGUAAGUCGGAUGUGAAAGCUCGGAGCUCAACUCCGAAAUGGCAUUGGAAACUACCUUGCUCGAGGGUUGGAGGGGGGACUGGAAUACUUGGUGUAGCAGUGAAAUGCGUAGAUAUCAAGUGGAACUCCAGUGGCGAAGGCGAGUCCCUGGACAACUCCUGACACUGAGGCACGAAAGCUAGGGGAGCAAACAGG